rnacentral:lncRNA from 1 species
GAACACUUUGAUUUCUUUUCAAUCAUAGUUUAAGCUAGGAUUGGAAUUUUGAGCUGAAAGCUAAUUCCUGAAUAGCAUUAAAUUUCCUACCUCCUUGCAGGGAAAGGCCACAAUAUUCUUAAAUUUUAACUUGUGGGCAUUAGGUGGAGCUACAGAUCUACAAGUAUUGAAAUCCAAGGACAGAAGAAGAGUGUCUUAUGGAUGAUACAAUAGAGAAAAGGAAACAAAAUACAGAGGCAACAGGUAG